GCGCUCGCUUCGACAGCACGUACACUGAACUUGGAAUGAUACAGAGAUUAGCAUGGCCCCUGAGCAGGCAUGACACGCAAAUUCAUGAAGUGUCCCAUAUUUUU